GAGGCCCUUUGUACAGCUGCCAAGACGCCAUCUGAUAGCUCUCAGUGACUGUCCCGCCUGCUGGCAGUGCGGUCCCCUGUUCUCCUUCUGCUGGGUCUGCACAUGGCGCUCAGCUCUCAGCACAAGACCGGGCGGAACCCAUCAGGGCUGCUCGUGGAUGGGGUCCAGGACUCCCAGUACUGCUUCAGUUAGAGGGGGAAGAGCGGAGGCUGAUCCAAUUACACCUCAGGGAGGACCUGAGGCCUCUGUCACACUCAGGACCCAUCAUCUUCACCGGGUCAGCCACUGACAGAUUUUGGGAAAACAUUCCAAGCAGCAGACUGUGGUGAUGCAUAUGCAUGAAUUUAUUUAACAUGCUCAAAACAUCUACUCUGUGUCGGACACCACACCUUAUUAAAUUCUCACAGUAUUUUACAGGGAACAAACGGGGCUCUGGGAAACUAGAGAACUUAUCCACAUGCCAAAAGGGCAGGCCAGCAUGUAAAGUAGGAGGAAGACUCAGCUGAAGGAAAGCAUUGCUUUGAGGUGUUUUUAUGGCUCUUACUAUUACAUUAGGUUGCCUAGAAAUGAGCCCAACAUUUCUGUGACUCAGAACCUUUUACUUUGGAGAAGAAGCCAAAAUAUAGACCUAAAACCAUAGCAUACAGUGCAAAGAGCUAAGUACCAGAGGAAUACAUGGUGUAGUGGGAGCUUCCAGGGGGAAAAAUAGCUUCCAUUUGGGAUACUUGUAUGCCUUAAAUACAUACAGUCUCAUUUGUUCAAUACAUCCCAAUAAAACUGGAGAAGAACUCUCUGAAAACAGUGACAUCUGAGACCCUAGAAAGAACGGUGGUUCUUAGAGUAGUUGGGGAGGAAGGGAAACAUAGUUUUGGUGAGGAAACAAGAAAGGUGAGAAUCAUGGACUUGAGAGGCUUAUAGAGUGGAAGGCAGUUUUAAUGGAGAGUUGAAGAAGGUGAUUUUGAAGACAAAGGGUUGGAAUGAAAUCUUGACAGGUCUUGAUUUUGUGACCAAUAAGUUGCAUGUUACUUGCACAGGGAGACCUUGAAUGUUUUGAGUUGAGAACUGGCAAAACCAGAGAAAAAUUCGAAAGACUAAGAUUUAACCCUCAAAGUUAUUUGGAAGUUUACAGAAGGGUUAAAAAAUUGGAGCUGUUGGCCUUAAAAAAAUAGAACUAUUAAUUAAAAGUUUUGCCUAUGAUAUUUGAACUUAGCGAUGAAUACACUUGAAGUUACAAAAAACAUCAAGCCUUAAGAAUCUCUGCUUUUUUUGAGAAACAAAAUUACCCACUUUGUCUUUAAAAGUUAAAAUUAUCAGGCACCUAUGUGGUGCUGAAUUUUCUACUGUUCCCAAUGAUUUACUGUUCAUUAUUUUCAAGAUAGGACAUCUUUAAGUUCGUGUAAUACUUAAUGAGAAUGUUAUUAUUUUUCAAUGGUCUUCAAUUUAGCAUUCUUUUAAAUGCUUACCCCUCAAAAAAAAAUAAUUGUGGGAGAUUAGCUUAUACCGUUGAACUUGGGUUGUAGAUUUUAGGUACUGAGAAGUUGACAACUCCAUACAUUUUUACUUUGGUCAGACCACUUCAAGAUGCUUUGGUAUCAAUUAUAACUCCAAUUUGACACUCUUAUCUUGAACUACAGCCACCUACCUGUUAGCAGAGCUAAAAGGGUGAUUAUAACAUCUCUAAACUGACAUUAUGGCCUGGUCUUCAGAUCCUUAAGCACUUGGUCUGGAUUGUGUUAUGUGUAACUUCAUAUACAUUUUAUAAGCUGCUUCCACAAAGAUGUCUGGAACUUGGAAAUACACAGUGGUCACUUGAGCAUAAAUCUGUUUUUAUUUUUUUUUUUGGGGGGGAGCUCUUCCAAAGAUGCUAGGAAGACCCCAACUAUUUCCCUCUUUGGUCUACCACUCUCUAGUGUGACUGAGAGACUUAGAAGGGUUGUAACUCUCUUCUUGUGUUCACUAUGGGUCAGUGGGACCCACAGUGCUCCAGUGAAGAGCACUUUACACCUAAUAAAUGAUCGGCUCAGAAAUUUACCACAA